rnacentral:rRNA from 1 species
CAAACGGGUGCGGAACACGUACACAACCUUCCUUUAAGUGGGGGAUAGCCCAGAGAAAUUUGGAUUAAUACCCCGUAAGAUUGAGAGAUGGCAUCAUUUCUUAAUUAAAGCUCCGGCGCUUGGAGAUGGGUGUGCGUCUGAUUAGGUAGUUGGUGAGGGUAACGGCCCACCAAGCCUUCGAUCAGUAACUGGUGUGAGAGCACGACCAGUCACACGGGCACUGAGACACGGGCCCG